UUCUUUGUAGAUUAAUUCACUCUAUAUUAUAUCAACUCUCAGUUAUUGCAGAUUCCAUUUAAAAACACGUGUUUACAUUCCAACUCUAUUUCUCCUGGAAAUUUUGCUAGUUAAUAUUUUCAACAUUUUUCAAACAAAAUUCAAAAGAUAAUGGAAAAAAUGUAAAAAAAUAAAUGUUUCCGAUCAUUGAGAAAACGGUGAAAAAUGAUUACAAUAAUUCAUCGUUGGAGGAAAAAAUCGA